rnacentral:rRNA from 1 species
CGCUGGCGGCGUGCUUAAUACAUGCAAGUCAACUUGACUUUAGAUAGCAAUAUCGAAAAGUAGGGUGGCGCACGGGUGCGUAACGCGUAGGUAAUCUGCCCUGAGGUCUGACAUAACCCGUCGAAAGGCGGGCUAACAUCAGAUGAUAUAUAAUCACGACAUCGUGGAAAUAUCAAAUCUUCGGAGCCUUGGGAUGAGCCUGCGUCUGAUUAGGUAGUUGGCGGAGUAAUAGCCCACCAAGCCUACGAUCAGUAGCUGGUCUGAGAGGAUGAUCAGCCACACUGGAACUGAGACACGGUCCAGACUCCUACGGGAGGCAGCAGUAAGGAAUAUUGCUCAAUGGGGGAAACCCUGAAGCAGCAACGCCGCGUGAAGGAUGAAAUACUUUCGUAUGUAAACUUCUGUAAGAUGGGAAAAAUAUUCUCCUCGGGAGAAUUGAUUGUACCAUCAGAGUAAGCCCCGGCUAACUACGUG